GAACGCUUUGUGGUUCAACUGAUAUGAAGAGCUUGCUCGGAUUUGAAGAUGAACAUUGCAAAGAGUGGCGAACGGGUGAGUAACACGUGGGAAACCUACCUCUUAGCGGGGGAUAACACUUGGAAACAAGUGCUAAUACCGCAUAAUACUGAUAACCGCAUGGUUAUCAGUUGAAAGAUGGUUCUGCUAUCACUAAGAGAUGGUCCCGCGGUGUAUUAGCUAGUUGGUAAGGUAAUGGCUUACCAAGGCAAUGAUACAUAGCCGAGUUGAGAGACUGAUCGGCCACAAUGGGACUGAGACACGGCCCAUACUCCUACGGGAGGCAGCAGUAGGGAAUCUUCCACAAUGGACGAAAGUCUGAUGGAGCAACGCCGCGUGUGUGAUGAAGGGUUUCGGCUCGUAAAACACUGUUGUAAGAGAAGAAUGACAUUGAGAGUAACUGUUCAGUGUGUGACGGUAUCUUACCAGAAAGGAACGGCUAAAUACGUGCCAGCAGCCGCGGUAAUACGUAUGUUCCAAGCGUUAUCCGGAUUUAUUGGGCGUAAAGCGAGCGCAGACGGUUGUUUAAGUCUGAAGUGAAAGCCCACAGCUUAACUGUGGAAGUGCUUUGGAAACUGGAUAACUUGAGUGCAGUAGAGGAGAGUGGAACUCCAUGUGUAGCGGUGAAAUGCGUAGAUAUAUGGAAGAACACCAGUGGCGAAGGCGGCUCUCUGGACUGUAACUGACGUUGAGGCUCGAAA
rnacentral:rRNA from 1 species